CAGUCCUGUGGAUACCAGGACCUUAUGACUCCUUGACUCUGGUCUGCCCAACCAUGUGACUUCUUGAUACAAAACCAUGCGACUUCAGCUGGAUACAAGAACUCAGCUUCUUUGGGCUUCCGUUGUAGAUGGAAGAUGAGCAGCUUUCCAGGAAUCCUCCAGAUUUUCAAUACCAGGACCAGAGAGAGGGAGAAAGAGUGAACAGAAGAGACCUGAUGCAGCCUGGCACUCUUAGAGCAGGAUGGCCCUAGAUGCCGCACCCAGACGGCACUGAAGAGGCAAGAGCUGCAGUCAGCAGGACAGUGUGGAGGCCAUGCUGGCAAUCUGCGCCAGGACCAGGGUUUGCAGCAGAUACGGAAGACAGCAAGUGGCCCAAGCCAGUCGGUUCAGGAAAGCACUUGCUGUUGGUUGUAGGUCAUUUGCUGUUCAAGGAGGCUCAGGUGGGGGCAUUACACAAUCUUCCGCCUUACCUCAGAUGACAUCACAGUAAACACAGCAUUAUUUCACAUGCUGAUAAGACAGAAACACCGCCAACUUCUUUGUGUAGCCAUUCUUCCUAGGACAUGAACGUGCUCUUUCGAGCUUCUUACUGCUGGUGUUAGCAUGUCAGCUGUGAUCUGAACACAGUAAGCCCCGUGCCCACCCUGAGAUUGGAGAACAUUUACACAAAGGCAAACUUCCUACUGUGGCUUAGCGUUCAAGUCCUUGAGAAUCAGACCUGUUCAGGAGUUAGCACCUCAGCCACCUGGGGGAGGAUGCUUGUUCAUUGAGCCACAUUAUUCCCUACCUACAACCCUUGGAUGACUUCAGAAUUGCUGGAAGAUCAGCUCCUCACACCUCACAUGGUCCUGGGCCCUUUGAGGCUGGCCUGGCAUUCAGGGCCAUUUAUGGUACCUUACUGCCUCACCUUCCACAGGUACAAUAAAGGCCCUGCCAGAUCUCCAAUGAAUCAUGCUUUCUCUUUACCAACUGCCCUUGUGCAUUCUGUUCCCACCCUCAGAAAUGUCUUUCCCUAGGUAACUACUGCCAUUGCUGCAUACUCAAGUGUAGAGGAGAGUGUUCUCCCAAGGUUAGGGCCCUUUCUACCACAC